CCUACGGGUGGCAGCAGUAGGGAAUCUUCCACAAUGGACGAAAGUCUGAUGGAGCAACGCCGCGUGAGUGAAGAAGGGUUUCGGCUCGUAAAGCUCUGUUGGUAGUGAAGAAAGAUAGAGGUAGUAACUGGCCUUUAUUUGACGGUAAUUACUUAGAAAGUCACGGCUAACUACGUGCCAGCAGCCGCGGUAAUACGUAGGUGGCAAGCGUUGUCCGGAUUUAUUGGGCGUAAAGCGAGUGCAGGCGGUUCAAUAAGUCUGAUGUGAAAGCCGUCGGCUCAACCGGAGAAUGGCAUCAGAAACGGUUGAACUUGAGUGCAGAAGGGGAGAGUGGAACUCCAGGUGUAGCGGUGGAAUGCGUAGGUAUAUGGAAGAACACCAGUGGCGAAGGCGGCAGGCCGGCUUCCGACGGACGCUGAAGCACGAAAGCGUGGGGAUCGAACAGGAUUAGAUACCCCAGUAUC
rnacentral:rRNA from 1 species